rnacentral:rRNA from 1 species
UGGGGAAUUUUGCACAAUGGGGGAAACCCUGAUGCAGCGACGCCGCGUGAUUUAGAAGGCCUUCGGGUUGUAAAAAUCUUUUCUAUGGGAAGAAAAUGACAGUACCAUAGGAAUAAGGACCGGCUAAUUACGUGCCAGCAGCCGCGGUAAUACGUAAGGUCCGAGCGUUGUCCGGAAUCAUUGGGCGUAAAGGGUACGUAGGCGGGUAAGCAAGUUAGAAGUGAAAUCCUAUAGCUCAACUAUAGUAAGCUUUUAAAACUGGCCAUCUUGAGGUAUGGAAGGGAAAGUGGAAUUCCUAGUGUAGCGGUGAAAUGCGCAGAUAUUAGGAGGAAUACCGGUGGCGAAGGCGACUUUCUGGCCAUAACCUGACGCUGAGGUACGAAAGCGUGGGUAGCAAACAGG